AGAGUCGAUCGGACAGUCGCUGUCUCUUUUUGUUCCGACAAGAGGGGAGGGAGGAAAGUCCGGGCUCCAUAGGGCAAAGUGCCAGGUAACGCCUGGGAGGCGCGAGCCUACGGAAAGUGCCACAGAAAAUAACCGCCUAAGUGCUUCGGCGCCGGUAAGGGUGAAAAGGUGCGGUAAGAGCGCACCGCGCGGCUGGUAACAGUCCGCGGCUAGGUAAACCCCACUUGGAGCAAGACCAAAUAGGGAUCCAUUGGCGUGGCCCGCGCUGGAUCCGGGUAGGUUGCUAGAGGCAGUCAGCGAUGGCUGUCGUAGAGGAAUGGCUGUCCUCGACAGAACCCGGCUUACAGAUCGACUCUCCGA
rnacentral:RNase_P_RNA from 1 species